GAUAGACCACCAUUCAUGUUGC
rnacentral:siRNA from 1 species